GUGGGGAAUCUUGCGCAAUGGGCGAAAGCCUGACGCAGCCAUGCCGCGUGAAUGAUGAAGGUCUUAGGAUUGUAAAAUUCUUUCACCGGGGACGAUAAUGACGGUACCCGGAGAAGAAGCCCCGGCUAACUCCGUGCCAGCAGCCGCGGUAAGACGGAGGGGGCAAGCGUUGUUCGGAAUUAUUGGGCGUAAAGGGCUCGUAGGCGGAUCUGGAAGUCUGGCGUGAAAUCUCAACCGCUUAACGGGGAGCUGCCGCUGGAUACUGCAGAUCUGGAGUUCGGUAGAGGAUAGUGGAAUUUCGGGUGUAGCGGUGGAAUGCGUAGAUAUCCGAAAGAACACCAGUGGCGAAGGCGACGAUCUGGGCCUGAACUGACGCUGAGGAGCGAAAGCUAGGGGAGCAAACGGGAUUAGAAACCCGUGUAGUCC
rnacentral:rRNA from 1 species